UACAGAGGGGGCAAGCGUUAUUCGGAAUUAUUGGGCGUAAAGGGCGCGUAGGCGGCCUUCUAAGUCGAACGUGAAAUCCCCGGGCUCAACCCGGGAACUGCGUCCGAUACUGGAAGGCUUGAAUCCGGGAGAGGGAUGCGGAAUUCCAGGUGUAGCGGUGAAAUGCGUAGAUAUCUGGAGGAACACCGGUGGCGAAGGCGGCAUCCUGGACCACUACUGACGCUGAGGAACGAAAGCUAGGGGAGCAAACAGG
rnacentral:rRNA from 1 species